GCACAAGCAGCGGAGCGUGUGGUUUAAUUCGAGGCUACACGAAGAACCUUACCAGGGUUUGACAUGCAAGUGGUAGGAAUCCGAAAGGUGACCGACCCUUCGGGAGCUUGCACAGGUGCUGCAUGGCUGUCGUCAGCUCGUGUCGUGAGAUGUUCGGUUAAGUCCGCUAACGAGCGCAACCCUCGUCGUGUGUUAUACGUGUCACACGAUACUGCCGGUAUCAAGCCGGAGGAAGGUGGGGAUGAUGUCAAGUCAGCAUGACCUUUAUAUCCAGGGCUACACACACGCUACAAUGGUCUGUACAAUGGGUAGCCAAGCCGCGAGGCGGAGCCAAUCCUGAAAGCAGGCCUCAGUUCAGAUUGCAGUCUGCAACUCGACUGCAUGAAGCCGGAGUUGCUAGUAACCGCAGGUCAGCAAUACUGCGGUGAAUACGUUCCCGGGUCUU
rnacentral:rRNA from 1 species